CAGCUGCAGUGCAUCUCACCAAGUAAGUGUUAUUGGUAAAAUUAGUUUUUGGAUUAUUUACCAAUCUAUGACCCAACCUCUAAAAGCUUAAGUUAAAAUGCAAUGCUUCUUAUACACGUAUUGAAUGGGCAUGGUCUGUGAUCUUGUGUAUACUAAAGUAAUCUACCCUAGAAGCAGACCUCAAAAAAAUCAAAGGCACCCACUGCGAUUGGUGCCGUCUUUGUUUGCCGCCAUGGUUCCCAUUCUCAAAGCUCCUAUACAAAUUUACAUUUUCCUUAUAGAAGUGCCCCUUACCAGAGGAGAAAUGCUGCGCCCUUCAAGAAUGAAAUUCAAGUCCUGGGUAUGCAUUGUGGGUUUCAAUCCCACCCAGGUAGCCUGUGGAGUUUUCAUUCACAGGACUUGGAACUCACUGUGCUAUCAGGUUGACAUUACCCUAUUUCCUUAGAAGCUCAAGUUUGUGCAAAGAAUGAGGUAGGCCAGACAGUUUUCAACCAAUAAUUAAGGUUGGAGUCAAUUGCUUUGCUGCAAAUUCCCUCCCUGUGCUUGAUCAAUGCACCUCCGUAGACCAAAAAACACCUUAUAGCACAACAAUGGGAUGCAAUUUUAUCCAUUUCAAUUGACUGCUGUGUAGUAAAAGAUCAUCCUGAUUAAUUUUAAACUGAAAUUAAAUCUUAGAGAUUACAAAUCUCAUUAUGAAGGUGACCUUGUUCUUUUGUGUGAGAAGUAAACCUGCAAUUAACUCUGUGAUUGCUUUUCCUAUUAAGUGCUCAUUGUACAUUGUAUGGAGUUGGUGCAGUAUGAAAACAGCAGUACAUGUUUUGAUAGGAACAACCUACCUACACAGCAGAUAGCAUGCUGUUACAUCACGUUACCUCAAACUGAAUGCUAUAGUCCUAUAUCAUAUUAGUUUAUAAUGCAUACAGAAUAACAAGUUUAAACGAAAUGGCACUCCUUAUUUUAUUUUAUUUUAAGACAAACGGUUUGGGUAAAUUUUAUUUAUUUUAAUGCCAUUGUGCAGUACAUCACCUCUAAAUUUUAAUUGUUUUAAUUUCUUUAAGUUUUUAUUUAGUAAACAAAGUUUUACUUUAAAUGUUUGCUACUAUGGUUCUCUCCCUAGAUCUAACCUGAUUACUACAGCCCUUGAAAUGUUCAAUUUUCUUUUAAUUGAAUAGCCUGUAAAUUAUACAAAUAUUGACUGCUUCGAGUGCUAUGAUUAAAACUACGACUGCCAAGGUGAUCCCCGGAGUGUUCUAUUUUCCCGAGGCGCGGCUGAGGGAUAUUGGAACGGUCCGGGGAUCACCGAGGGAGUCGUAAGUUUAACCAUAGCACAAGUUAAAGCAGUCAAUAUUUGUUUUAUAACACCCCCAACAGACUAUUUAUCACCCUCGUACAUGCAACGUUCGUACGAGCGUUUCAGAUACACAGAUGCAAAACUGAUUGGGUCCGAGGUAGGUAAAAAGACGUCUGGGUACUGCACGAUGCUGUGUGGUAGUCGAUGCACUAUCACAGGGCAAACGAUGCACUAUCAAAUGGCCACCAUCUAGUGAAAAUUUAAUAGGCAUGUCAUGUGACGCGCUCGUAACCAAUAAAAAGGCAGAACAUUUGUAGGUGGUGUUAUAAUCCGUAUUAUGUACAUGUUGGUUAUUUAUUUUAAAUUUGUUGUAAUUUUGACAUUACAUUUAAUCGAGCCAAACGAUUAAUCCCAUUCUUAAAGCCAGUGGACACUAUUGGUAAUUGUCAAAGACUAGCCUUCACAGUUGGUGUAU